UAGUAACGGCGAGUGAAGCGGCAACAGCUCAAAUUUGAAAUCUGGCCUCGGCCCGAGUUGUAAUUUGCAGAGGAUGCUUCUGGCGCGGUGCCUUCCGAGUUCCCUGGAACGGGACGCCACAGAGGGUGAGAGCCCCGUAUGGUCGGACACCAAGCCUGUGUGAAGCUCCUUCGACGAGUCGAGUAGUUUGGGAAUGCUGCUCUAAAUGGGAGGUAAAUCUCUUCUAAAGCUAAAUACCGGCCAGAGACCGAUAGCGCACAAGUAGAGUGAUCGAAAGAUGAAAAGCACCUUGAAAAGGGGGUUAAAUAGUACGUGAAAUUGUUGAAAGGGAAGCACUUGUGACCAGACUUGGGCCGGGCGGCUCAUCAGGGGUUCUCCCCUGUGCACUCCGCCCGGCACAGGCCAGCAUCGGUUCCCGUGGGGGGAUAAGACCGCCGGGAACGUAGCACCCUCCGGGGUGUGUUAUAGCCCGGCGGACGAUACCCCCGUGGGGACCGAGGUUCGCGCUCCGCAAGGAUGCUGGCGUAAUGGUCACCAGUGACCCGUCUUGAAACACGGACCAAGGAGUCGUCCAUUAGAGCGAGCGUUUGGGUGUAAAACCCGCACGCGUAAUGAAAGUGAACGCAGGUGAGAGCUUCGGCGCAUCAUCGACCGAUCCUGAUGUUCUCGGAAGGAUUUGAGUAAGA
rnacentral:rRNA from 1 species